GAUGAACGCUGGCGGCGUGCCUAAUACAUGCAAGUCGAGCGAACAGACGAGGAGCUUGCUCCUCUGACGUUAGCGGCGGACGGGUGAGUAACACGUGGAUAACCUACCUAUAAGACUGGGAUAACUUCGGGAAACCGGAGCUAAUACCGGAUAAUAUAUUGAACCGCAUGGUUCAAUAGUGAAAGACGGUUUUGCUGUCACUUAUAGAUGGAUCCGCGCCGCAUUAGCUAGUUGGUAAGGUAACGGCUUACCAAGGCAACGAUGCGUAGCCGACCUGAGAGGGUGAUCGGCCACACUGGAACUGAGACACGGUCCAGACCCCUACGGGAGGCAGCAGUAGGGAAUCCUCCGCAAUGGGCGAAAGCCUGACGGAGCAACGCCGGGUGAGUGAUGAAGGUCUUCGGAUCGUAAAACUCUGUUAUUAGGGAAGAACAAAUGUGUAAGUAACUAUGCACGUCUUGACGGUACCUAAUCAGAAAGCCACGGCUAACUACGUG
rnacentral:rRNA from 1 species